UACGGAGGGUGCAAGCGUUAAUCGGAAUCACUGGGCGUAAAGCGCGCGUAGGCGGUUUUGUAAGUCAGAUGUGAAAGCCCUCGGCUCAACCGGGGAAUUGCAUUUGAAACUGCGGAACUUGAGUACUGGAGAGGAUGGCGGAAUUCCAGGUGUAGGAGUGAAAUCCGUAGAUAUCUGGAGGAACACCAGUGGCGAAGGCG
rnacentral:rRNA from 1 species